rnacentral:lncRNA from 1 species
CAGGUUCUCAGUUACCCAACUGAUUCUCUGGGACUUUUUUUCCUAGAUCCUUUCACACACAGUCAUGUGUCAUGAGGAAGGAGGACUUUGCUCCACUCAUGCACAGGUCUUGUGAUGUGCGCAGGUAUCUCCUCGUCACAGGAACAGACGCUUGGCCGACAUUCAUCAGGUAAAGACUCUGCUGCAGAUUGCCUCACAGUAGUGCCUCCAUUUCUGUCAACGUCUCCACUAAACUGAUCGUCAGCUCCAUUUUUUUCUUCUUGGCUUCAUCAUAAAUAGAGAUUGUUUUAAAAUUACUUAACAUGUUCCUGCAGACUAAAUCUUCUAAACCUUAAAGACGUCCAUUGAUUAUCUUUUAUGCAUAUUAGGUAAUAUUAUUGGAAAGCCGGACUGCUACAACACGACUGUCAUGGAACUGAAGAGCGACCUGUGGCACACCCAGACGCCGAGCGCUUCCUCUUUACGUGACCAGCCUACCUUGUUCCUUCGGGACAGAUCCACAUCUGUGUCCCAGCUGGUUUCCAGGUGACCGAAUCCUAACAGCUCAGUGACCUCGGUUCUUGUGUUUGUAGACAUGUGAUAUGAUCUUUGUGAGCAGGUAUCAGAUGACAACGGAGAACCAUAGUCAGGAAAAUGCAGAAAUCAAAGCAGAAGCAAUAGCAAAACAGGUAUUUAUGUGACAUUUCUUAGCUCCUGGUGUUAGAGCGCUACAGAAAGCUCAUGUUUCUCCUCCAGAUGUCAUCGCUGGUGACUACAAAGCCUCACGUAGAAGCGUUGGACAGAGGAAAUGACAACAAGGACCAGUCUCACUCCAAGACAGGAUUGACACGCAGCAAGUCCAUGGGCAGCCUUCAAAUCAAGGUGGUCUCCUUCCAGAGCUUGAAGGCCCGUUUUGAGUCAAAGGAGGACACACAGAAGAAGGUGACCAGCAAACAGUCAACCAGCAGGUCUGUGGAAGCCACACAGGAGAAGACAGCGGAGGCCAAACAGACAAAUGAUCCUCCUCUGGAAACUGAAAAACGUCCCCCAAAAUCUUUGAAGAUGAAAGGAGACAAGUGGGAGUCCCCACAAAUCAAGACGAGUUUGGUCCGUAGCAAGUCGACAGGGAGCCUUCGGAGCAGCUCUGGGUCCAUCGAGGCCCUCAGGGCUCGCUUUGAGUCCAAAGUGGACGCACAGAACAUGGCCCGAGGGGUCAAAAACAGCCCAGCCUCCAUCAAGCCAGCAGAAGUCCUGCAGGUGACAGACAGAGAGGCUGAAGGAAAGAGCCUGAAAGAAAAACCAAGGAGCCAAACUGCUGAUGUCCCACAGAAGGAGGGAAAAGAUGCUCCAUCAUCUCAGAAGGUAAAUCAGGACCAACUAUGUGUCAAAAUAGCUGACAAAUUUCAAUCAAAGGUUAUAUAA